rnacentral:lncRNA from 1 species
CCUUAUCUUCCCAUUUCAAACUCGCACUAGAUUGGGGAGAAUGCAAUUGCUUCAACAUAAAAGCUAAAAGGUCUGGGCCUCUUACUCCAUUGGGGUCUACAUCGUUUCUGCUCAGUGUCUCCACAGAGCAGAGAGAGAAGAGAGCAAUUUCCUGUUUGUUCAUGCUUAUAUACUGUUACUGCCUACAUCAUCAUUUCCUGGUUGGAUCACAUGGAGACUUCUCUUUACUACAUGUCCCAGGAUUCUCCUUGCCUCCUAGUCCCACCUAGCUUGCUUCACUAUUGGCCAACAAUGCUGUAUUCAACAAGCAAUAAGAUAAACAUAUGUACAGAAGAUUUCUCCCAUCAGA